rnacentral:rRNA from 1 species
AGAGUUUGAUCCUGGCUCAGGAUGAACGCUGGCGGCAUGCCUAAUACAUGCAAGUCGAACGAGAGGAAGGAAAGCUUGCUUUUCUGAAUCUAGUGGCGAACGGGUGAGUAACACGUAGGUAACCUGCCCAUGUGCCCGGGAUAACUUCUGGAAACGGAUGCUAAAACCGGAUAGGUAGCAGACAAGCAUUUGACUGCUAUUAAAGUGGCUAAGGCCAUGAACAUGGAUGGACCUGCGGUGCAUUAGCUAGUUGGUGAGGUAACGGCCCACCAAGGCGACGAUGCAUAGCCGGCCUGAGAGGGCGGACGGCCACAUUGGGACUGAGACACGGCCCAAACUCCUACGGGAGGCAGCAGUAGGGAAUUUUCGUCAAUGGGGGGAACCCUGAACGAGCAAUGCCGCGUGAGUGAGGAAGGUCUUCGGAUCGUAAAGCUCUGUUGUAAGAGAAAAACGGCACUCAUAGGGAAUGAUGAGUGAGUGAUGGUAUCUUACCAGAAAGUCACGGCUAACUACGUGCCAGCAGCCGCGGUAAUACGUAGGUGGCGAGCGUUAUCCGGAAUGAUUGGGCGUAAAGGGUGCGUAGGUGGCAGAACAAGUCUGGAGUAAAAGGUAUGGGCUCAACCCGUACUGGCUCUGGAAACUGUUCAGCUAGAGAACAGAAGAGGACGGCGGAACUCCAUGUGUAGCGGUAAAAUGCGUAGAUAUAUGGAAGAACACCGGUGGCGAAGGCGGCCGUCUGGUCUGGAUUCUGACACUGAAGCACGAAAGCGUGGGGAGCAAAUAGGAUUAGAUACCCUAGUAGUCCACGCCGUAAACGAUGAGAACUAGGUGUUGGGGGAAUAACUCAGUGCCGCAGUUAACGCAGUAAGUUCUCCGCCUGGGGAGUAUGCACGCAAGUGUGAAACUCAAAGGAAUUGACGGGGGCCCGCACAAGCGGUGGAGUAUGUGGUUUAA